CGACUCCAUGAAGCUGGAUUCGCUAGUAAUCGCGCAUCAGCCACGGCGCGGUGAAUACGUUCCCGGGCCUUGUACACACCGCCCGUCAAGCCAUGAAAGCCGGGGGUACCUGAAGUGCGUAACCGCGAGGAGCGCCCUAGGGUAAAACUGGUGAUUGGGGCUAAGUCGUAACAAGGUACC
rnacentral:rRNA from 1 species